GACGAACGCUGGCGGCGUGCUUAACACAUGCAAGUCGAACGAGUGGCGAACGGGUGAGUAAUACGUGGGAACCUGCCCUCCUUUUUGGGAUAAGCCUUGGAAACGGGGUCUAAUACCGAAUAAGUGCAGAUGGGCCCGCGGGCUAUCAGCUUGUUGGUGGGGUAAUGGCUUACCUAGGCGACGAUCCCUAGCUGGUCUGAGAGGAUGAUCAGCCACACUGGGACUGAGACACGGCCCAGACUCCUACGGGAGGCAGCAGUGGGGAAUAUUGCACAAUGGGCGCAAGCCUGAUGCAGCCAUGCCGCGUGUAUGAAGAAGGCCUUAGGGUUGUAAAGUACUUUCAGUCGGGAGGCGGUACCGACAGAAGAAGCACCGGCUAACUCCGUGCCAGCAGCCGCGGUAAUUC
rnacentral:rRNA from 1 species